rnacentral:rRNA from 1 species
AUUGAACGCUGGCGGCAGGCCUAACACAAGCAAGUCGAACGAGUGGCGGACGGGUGAGUAAUGUCUGGGAAACUGCCCGAUGGAGGGGGAUAACUACUGGAAACAGUAGCUAAUACCGCAUACCCUCGGAUGUGCCCAGAUGGGAUUAGCUAGUAGGUGGGGUAACGGCGCACCUAGGCGACGAGCCCUAGCUGGUCUGAGCGGAUGACCAGCCAAACUGGAACUGAGGAACGGUCCAGACGCCUACGGGAGGCAGCAGUUGGGAAGAUUGCACAAUGGGCUCAAUCCUGAUGCAGCCAUGCCGCGUGUAUGAAGAAGGCCUUCGGUUUGUAAAGUACUUUCAGCGAGGAUGCGUUACUCGCAGAAGAAGCACCGGCUAACUCCGUGCCAGCAGCCGCGGUAAUUC